rfam:Streptomyces sp. GKT 895 contig4, whole genome shotgun sequence.
CGAGCCGGGCGGACGGCCGCGUGGAGUCCCCUUGACGGGGGCUUCCCGAGGAACGUCCGGGCUCCACAGGGCAGGGUGGUGGCUAACGGCCACCCGGGGUGACCCGCGGGACAGUGCCACAGAAAACAAACCGCCUGGCGCUUCGGUGCCGGGUAAGGGUGAAACGGUGGUGUAAGAGACCACCAGUGCUCAGGGUGACCUGGGCAGCUAGGUAAACCCCACCUGGAGCAAGGUCAAAAGGGGCCGCCUUCUUGAAAGAGGGGCGGCUCUGCGGGAACGUUCGAGGGCUGCCCGCCCGAGUUCCCGGGUAGACCGCAGGAGGCCGGCGGCAACGCCGGUCCUAGAUGGAUGGCCGUCGCCGAGACGUCCGCGAGGACCCUCGGCACAGAACCCGGCGUAUAGCUCGGCUCGUCUG